GGGGUCGUGGCUCAGCGGCAGAGCACCCGCCCAGCACGUGAGAGGCACUGGGUUCAAUCCUCAGCACCACA
rnacentral:tRNA from 1 species